ACUAGCAGGUAAUGGUUGAGUGGU
rnacentral:siRNA from 1 species